rnacentral:lncRNA from 1 species
CCUCCUUCUCCUGGUGUCCAUUUCUGGAACUGCUAUUUGUAUAUUGCAUGAUAUUUUAUCAGGAAAAAAUAUAAAACAGAUCUAAUUUCAUGAAAAUGCUGUUGCCAUAAUGCUCAGGAGAACAGGGGGAAGAGAGAGAUUCAAGUCUUCCUAAUGUCUACCUUAUAUGCAGAGCCUUGGAAAGAUGGGCAAAUGCUCUGUGACAAGCCACCAGGGUAGACUGGUACUGAAAAGACCCUACUACACACAGGGGCUCUGUCCCUGGCUGGAAAGUUACAAGUCAGCCUACCUCUCUGUGAUCUGGUUUCCACACCUACUACUCUUUAUCCCAUGAGGAGCUUCUGGAAACUAAAAUAGCUGCCCAGGUAGAAGAGUGUUGACCAAAGGACACAUCACCAGCACAGACUGUUAAUCAUGUGACUAGAGAAAACUCUCAUGGUGGCAUUCAAAUUUCCAUAUCCUUCUUCUAUGGAAAUUUCUGAGAGACCCAGAAAAGAAGCGUAACGACGAGGGAAAGUGAUUCCUGCAGACCUGAACAUUCCAGACUUACCAGGUGAUCCAGCUGUCUGUCAGCGGGAAGAGGCUGAGGCGCCCCCUUCUGGUGCAUCUGAAUAGUAAGAAACCCUGUGUAGAAAGAAACCCUGUAGCAAUUGGGCACCUUCUCCGUGAUCUGUCUGCUUCCAAUACCAAAAAUUGUUGCUUUUUAAAUGACAUCCAUCCUAAGCUUAAAAAAGACGCAUAUUAUUUGUAUAAAAUGUUGAAGACGCAGAACAAAAAAUGUAAAUCACAUGUAAUCAUCCCUUCCAGAAAUAAUCGUUAUUAAAAUUUCUGUGUAUGUGUAAAAAAAAAAAUUGCAAUCCUACUGUAAUAUAAUCCUGUAUACUGAUAUUUUUCACCUAUCACUGUAUGUUGAGCAUUUUCAAUAGUCAAAUUAUUUCUUGAAAAUAUUAAUGACUGGGGAGUAACCUUUCAAAUAGGUGUGUCUUUAUUUUUAAACCAGUCCACAAUUAUUGUAUAUUGAAGUCAUUUCCCAAAUUUUGUAAGUAUAAGUAUUGCAUCCAUCCUUAUAUGUAUUUAAAUGCAUCUCUUAUUAUUUCCUUGAGAUAAGUUCCUAGAAGUGGAAUCACUGGAUUUAAAAAUGUGGACAUAUUUAUGCCAGACGCGGUGGGUCAUGCCUGUAAUCCCAGCACUUUGGGAGACUGAAGCAGGUGGAUCACUUGAGGUCAGGAGUUCAAGACCAGCCUGGCCAACAUAGUGAAACCCCAUCUCUACUAAAAUUACAAAAAUUAGCCGGGUGUGGUAGUGCACGCCUGUAAUCCCAGCUACUCAGGAGGCUGAGGCAUAAGAAUCACUUGAACUCAGGAGGCGGAGGUUGCAGUGAGCCAAGAUGGCACCACUGCGCUCCAGUCUGGGCGACAGAGUAAGACUUCAUCUCAAAAAUAAAUAAAUAAAAUUAAAAUUAAAUAAGAUAAAUAAAAAAUAAAAAUGUGGACAUAUUUAAAUCUUCAUAUAUAUUACCAAAUGCCCUCCUGAAAGUUUUUACCUGUUACAUUCCAACCAAUAGUGUAAGGGCAUGACUCUUUCCCUGUGUUUUGGGAUGGAUGUUAUCAAAGUUCUCUCCCACCCAGGCCAAGUAUGGUAUAUGCUUUGAUUUAAUUUGAAUUUUUAAAUUAUUAUUUAAAAUGGACAUUUUGUUGUCCAUUUGAACAACUUUCUUUUGAGUCACUGUUCAUGUUCUUUGCCCAUUGUUUCUCUUUUAUUAGUAAGAACCCUAUUGUCAUUUUUAUAUUUUAAAUAAAAUUUCAUUGUAUAUACAUUU